rnacentral:sRNA from 1 species
GCUGGGCGCUGUGAUGCACACCUGUAAUCCCAAUGACUCAGGAGGCUGAGGAGGAUGUUCUCAAAUUUGAGGCAGCCUCAGCAAUUUGAGACCCUGUCUCAA